GGCAUUUUAGUAAUUUUGACCCGAGAAGGGUAAAACUGUGAAUUUAAUUUAUUUACGUGCUUAUGAACUAUAUUAAUAUAUAAUAUAUCUACUGUGUCCUUUUUCAGGUGUAUUUUGAUAAUUUGGCGCGGUAUAGUCCCAACCAGGUAUUUCAGGCCGAACUGGGUUUGGGACCGAAAUAUAAUUCUAGGAUAAAUUAUUGACAUUUUAUUUAUGUGUGAAUAAUCUGAUUUUUUUUUUUUUUUGAGUUUAUUUGUGAUAUGAAUGACCAUUUUGUCCUUGAAUGCUUUUAAUUGUGUUAUAUGGCCCUAGGGGCAAUAUGAUAAUUUGGCCUACAUGUAUUAUUUGUAUUAAAUGGAAUAUUUGUGAAAGAGAUUUUAUUUUCUGAUUUUUCAACACCCAGCCGACCUCUCUCUCUCUCUCUCUCCCUAAACUUCUUUUCUAAGUUUUGAUUUUUGUUGAGAAACAGCUUGAAUUUUUGCUAACUUUUGGAGCUUGGAAUUUGGAGGUGUUGAGGAUUGUUCUUGCUAUAAUUUGAGUUUCCUUUGCAGAUCAAAGCUUAUGUGGGUUUGAAGAUAGAGAAUCAAUGGCUGGAGGAAAGGGUAAAUUUAUUUCUAAUCAGCCAUGAGUGUGGGAGCUGGGCGAUGAAUGUACAUGUUCGGGCCACACUAGACCAAGUGGGUUGGGGUCUACCAGUGUUGAAACUUUUGUAACUCUGUUUUGCCACUUAGGUCGGCUAAGGAAAAAGACUUGUAAUAUUUUGCAAAGCAAUUUUUUGGAUCCCAAAACAUGUAACUUUUGUUUGUAAGGUUAAAAUUAUUACAAGUUUAUUUUCAUUUUAUUUU